CUCCAGUUUUGUUCGGUUGUGAAUGCUGCGUCCUGUCCUGGUGACAGGAGAACAAUGUUGGUGAAGUCGCAGCGGUGUCAGAGCGAUCCGUGCGCCCCUGGGAGUUUGUGGGGGCGGAAGCCCUGGCGGCCUGCGGGCCCUGGUGAUAGGGCUCUAUCUGGGGCCGCAGGGCCUGUCCCCUCGGCCGCCUCCGGGUUAUUUCUGGGGGAUGGCUGCGCUGUGGUCGGUUUGGCGGGGGCACUGGGGCCUGGCAGGGGCGGGGCGGCCUUAUCGCCUGGCUCUCCAGCCAAGGCUUCGUGCUCCAGAGCAAGCCGGGUCACCAUCCUCUCGCCAUGGGCUCCGGUGAGUCUGGGGUCAGGCAGGGCCCAGGCUGCGCUCCUUGAGCCGAGUCGGGUUGGGAGGCGCUGCCGGAGGGAGAUUUGGGUCGGACUUCGAGGGAACUUCUAGCCAGCGCGCGCGAGAUGAUGGAGAUGGAGAGGCUUGCGGGCAAUAGGGGGCUCGGCGCCUCGGGGGUAGGGGGUGCGGUAGCGGCUGGAGCAGGGCCCAGCGCUCCGGGUGCACAGGGACCCGCUCAGGUGCCCCACAGGCCGCCGGGCUCACUGCGGCGCUUCCCUUCCAGGGCCGCGCGGGGCGCUGAGUCUGCUGCUCCUGCUGCUCGCACCGCCCCGCCGCCCCGCCGCGGGUUGCCCGGCGCCGUGCGACUGCGCGGGGACGCGCGUGGAUUGCGGGCGCCGCGGGCUGACGUGGGCUUCGCUGCCCGCCGCCUUCCCGCCGGACACGACCGAGCUGGUGCUGACGGGCAACAAUCUGACGGCGCUGCCGCCGGGACUGCUGGACGCGCUGCCCGUGCUGCGCACCGCGCACCUGGGGGCCAACCCCUGGCGCUGCGACUGCCACCUGGUGCCGCUGCGCGCCUGGCUGGCCGGCCGGCCAGAGCGCGCGCCCUACCGCGACUUGCGGUGCGCCGCGCCCCCCGCUCUGCGCGGCCGCCUGCUGCCCUACCUGGCGGAGGACGAGCUGCGCGCCGCCUGUGCGCCGGGCGCGCUCUGCUGGGGGGCGCUGGCGGCGCAGCUCCUGCUGCUCGGCCUCGGGCUGCUGCACGCGCUGCUGCUGACGCUGCUGCUGUGCCGCCUGCGCCGCCUGCGCCGCCUGCGCGCCCGCGCCCGCGCCGCGCACCCGUGGUCGCUGACCGCCCCGCUGGUGGCGGAGCCGACCGGAGCCAGCGAGUCCCGAGAGGAGUCCUGA